rnacentral:ncRNA from 1 species
CGCCCGGCCAGGAUCCCGUGGGGGGAAUCCAUGACCGGGAUAGAGAAGCGCCCCGUCGACGGG